CGGCUCUUCCUGUUCCACUGCCUCCACUUCCUGUGUCUCCAGAUACUGCUUCCUGUUUCGCAAACAUCAGCGGUGUCAGAAAUGGAGCACAGUGUGGAUUUCUUCCUUAUAGACAUUUACCAUGCAGCGUCAUCUGCUGGGCGUUCAGAGUAUUACAGCGUCACAGGAGUCGCAGCGAUCAGCAUCAGGAUCUAACGGGUCGCUCCAGUCGCCCAGAGUCACGGCCGAAUGAGUCCGACUGCAGCCCAACGCUGACACACACACACACACACACACACAGACCACCGUGAGUAACACAUCCUCCACUCUCUCUCCCCAUCACAUCUAAUAUUAUUGAUCUUGACUGUGCAAUGAUAAAAUACAUGCAGCAUUAUUUUAAUGUGCUUUACGGUCAUGAGAAAUAAUGAAGCACUGCAACUGAAAACAUCCAUGAACUCCUAACAGUCCACUGUGAUCUAAUCAGUCUGAGGUCACUGUUAAGUACCG